CUCUUUGUGCGGGAAAGAGCUCUAAAAAAAAUUCUCAGCAAAAUUUUGUCAUCGCCGACGUCGGGAAUAAUCGCUGGUUACGUUGCCGGAGAUGGAGAUGAAGGAUCAGGAUCUGGAAUUGGAGAAAGCUCGAUUGAUAUGCUUAGCUACACAGCUCGGAUUCGACGAAGAUUCCGCGAAAGAAAUGCUUGGCUCGAUUCGUCGCUCUUUACGGCGAUGAUGGUCGGGAUUUCAUCACUGUUGAGUUUGUGUGAUUUGAUGAUGCUUUUCUUGCGACGUUAGCUGAUUUUGAAGAGGGAACUGAGGAAUGGGAUGAUAUACACAGAGUCUGAAGCUAACCCUAGUGAUAACGGAUUCAAGACUGAUGAUGAUGAUGAUUCAAGAGUCCAAGUUCAUGUCAUUGAGGAUUCUCCUGAGCCAAAGAAACACCCGGAGGUAAUGGAUUUGGAUUCUUCUAGUGAUCGGGAAGAUAUUGAGACACGCUUCAAGCCUUCAAGGUUCCAAGGAGAUCACAGACAAGUUUUAUAAAUCGCUAUUUGAGAUCUGUCAUCUAUGUGUUGCAGGCCUUGGAUGAUCUGGAGUUUGGUAUUCUUUGGAAACAAGGUGUUUCGACCCCUGCAGCAUCAAGCAUGUAGAGCAUCUAUGGAUUGUUUUGUUCUAAUGCCAACGGGAGGGGGAAAAAGUCUGUGUUACCAGCUUCCUGCAACACUAAAAGCUGGAGUACAUGUCAGUUUAAUCAUCUUUGAGAGAACUUAUGGUGACACUACGACCUUACGGUCCUUCCACAUAGUUGUUUGGUGAUGCUUAAUUUCUUAGUUUCGACAGUAACUCUUUCACUUUUGCUUUAACGCGGUGAAAGGUACCGGAUCCCAAAUCGGGAAAUACGCCGGAGAAGACGGAGGCGAGAAGAAGAAUAAGCUUGAGGUUACUGGAAAAGCUCGUGGUUUGUGUUGUUGGAGUGUUCUGUCUCUGCGCCAGAAUCAGAAAAAGGAAGAAGAACGCUAAAACGCCAUCGUUGAAGUGUAAAAAGGGCAAAUCUCAGAGCUCAACGAGGAAGUUUAGUGUAAACCCUACUCUCGAUUUCUUGUACUCAAACUCACUAGGAGUUGAUACUUGGAGAGACAAAACUCUGUCAAAGAAAUACAAGAAACCGAGAAGGAUUUGAAUGAUAACAAUGGUGGAUUGCUUGAAGAAGAGGUAAAGAGAAGUAUUGAAACAGAGAUUUCACAAGAUUGGGACAAUGCUAGUAGUUAUUCAACUAAAGAGAUUGUGUCGGUGCACGAAACUGAUGAUGAACAAACAGUAAACUCUGUUUCUGCUCCUGUCGUUGUUAUCAAUGGACGCGAUGAUACUUCAGACGAUGAUGAGUCUUUUCAUUCCGUUAGUGUUGGCUCUCAGCAUUCAAAUCCAAGUCGAACACGUAUUUUUCCGACAAGUCUAAACUCAUAUGUUACCAGUAUCAUAAAUAGCAUAGCCAAUUUGUAUAUUUUGACCUUUAAUUCUGCUUAAAACCUGUGUACAUAAAUAAAACAAGCUUGAACAAUUCUCUGUGCAAAGGAGAUGAUGAUGAAUUUAUCCCUUUGCUCGAUUUAAGCGGAAACAAAAUGGUUCUCUGUGCAGAUUAAACCAGAGAAACUUAGCCUACGACUUAACAUUACCAUUAGCACGAGCUACACACGCUUGCUUUGGAUCCUACUAGUAGGCCUUAAGACAUAUAGCAACAUUAAGAUCUAGUUCAAGUAAGAUUUAACCUCAGGUUUUAGGAA